GGCUCGUUGGUCUAGGGCAAUGAUUCUUCCUUCGGGUGCAAGGGUCCCGGGUUCAAAUCCCGGACGAGCCC
rnacentral:tRNA from 1 species